rnacentral:rRNA from 1 species
AUGUCGUCCUCCGCAGCUCUAUCGUCCACCAUGAGCGCGCUUUCCACCUCCACGUCCUCCACCUUCGCAUCAUCCAGCAGCAGCAGCAGCUCUGUUCUUCUCGGACCGCCACCACAGGAGAAGCUAUCAAGGGGAAAUUUCCUUCUAUGGAAGGCCGUCGUGCUUCCGCAGAUUAGAGGCGCACAGAUGGAGCAUCACCUUGACGGGAAGAGUCCGGAACAACCGGCCACCCUCACCAUCACCAAAGAUGGCAAAGACGAACAGAUCGCCAACCCCGCCCGCACCUUCUGGUAUGCACAGCAGCAGCAACUCCAGGGGUAUCUAAUGGGGUCUCUGUCCCGCGAGAUCCUCGCUCAAGUCGCUACCCUCCAGACGCCGGCAGAAGCAUGGAGCGCCAUCAACGCCAUGUUCGCCGCCUAG